rnacentral:rRNA from 1 species
UUAGCUGAGAGGUGGUGCAUGGCCGUCGUCAGUUCGUACUGUGAAGCAUCCUGUUAAGUCAGGCAACGAGCGAGACCCACGUCCACAGUUGCCAGGCAUACCCUCCGGGGUGAUGGGUACACUGUGGAGACCGCCGCUGCUAAAGCGGAGGAAGGAGUGGGCAACGGUAGGUCAGUAUGCCCCGAAUCUCCCGGGCUACACGCGGGCUACAAUGGUUGGUACAAUGGGCAUCUACCCCGAAAGGGGAAGGAAAUCUCUUAAAGCCAAUCGUAGUUCGGAUUGAGGGCUGCAACUCGCCCUCAUGAAGCUGGAAUCCGUAGUAAUCGCGUUUCAACAGAACGCGGUGAAUACGUCCCUGCUCCUU